rnacentral:rRNA from 1 species
AUUGAACGCUGGCGGCAGGCCUAACACAUGCAAGUCGAGCGGAUGAAGGGAGCUUGCUCCUGGAUUCAGCGGCGGACGGGUGAGUAAUGCCUAGGAAUCUGCCUGGUAGUGGGGGAUAACGUCCGGAAACGGGCGCUAAUACCGCAUACGUCCUGAGGGAGAAAGUGGGGGAUCUUCGGACCUCGCGCUAUCAGAUGAGCCUAGGUCGGAUUAGCUAGUUGGUGGGGUAAAGGCCUACCAAGGCGACGAUCCGUAACUGGUCUGAGAGGAUGAUCAGUCACACUGGAACUGAGACACGGUCCAGACUCCUACGGGAGGCAGCAGUGGGGAAUAUUGGACAAUGGGCGAAAGCCUGAUCCAGCCAUGCCGCGUGUGUGAAGAAGGUCUUCGGAUUGUAAAGCACUUUAAGUUGGGAGGAAGGACAGUAAGUUAAUACCUUGCUGUUUUGACGUUACCAACAGAAUAAGCACCGGCUAACUUCGUG